CAAAAUAUCUGUCUUAGUAAAUACAUAGUUAAAAACUAACUUGUGAAUAUCUGUGUACUAUUUUCUCUCUCUUUGCUCCUGACCUCAUGUCUCUCCAUGCUCAGCAGGGACUGCAUGGCUGACCACAUCACUGCUUUCACAGCACUCUCCUGCGCACUUGCCACAGAACCUCCAGAUAAUGAAAUGUCAGUAUAGUAAUUGAAUGUCAGCUGUAGUGCUCAGAAGAAUAAGAUUUCCGGAGAAGGUCUCCCUUGAUCUAUUUCUAGCAAUGAAGGCAUCUAGAUCAGUAGCUCUUGAGGAACACCCACAUUUUUCGGAUCAUCAAAAGCCAUGCAACAGUGUGGUGAAUGCAUCCCCUACUGAAGAAGAAAAGGAGAAUUGUACAGAGAGCACCUGAUUGUAGCAGAUCAGAAGGACUGUGUUUGACCCUACUUGAAAAAAAUAGAAAAAAGCAAAGACAAAAGUUGAAUAAAUAAAAAUAUGACCAACCUGCAAACUGUUACUGAUCAAUGGAUGCAUUCACCGAGUAUUCAUUUCUGUAUGUGUGUGAUGUUUGAGGUGUCCUGAAAGGAACAGGAACUAUAUAAAGUUUAUCUUUAAGCUAUGUGCUUUUGCGACUGCCACAAGGUUUCACUUGUGUCACUAAAUUACUGAAAGUGUUGAAAGAAAGAAAACUGGGGAUGACCACAGAUGUUUGCAGUUUUCAAUUUGCUGACUUGAAUAUUUGCAACUGGUUAUUUAACACAUGUAUAUAAUUUCAGUUGAUUAUUUCUAUAUAUGCUUUCAGUCAGUAUUUCCUAUAAUUAAAAAGAGAUUUGUAUUUUUUCCUAUUAUCUGUUCUGGGUUAAGUCAAGUACUUAUAAUCUCCAUUUCUAUUGCUAGUCUUUAUAUUAAAAAUACUUUUUCC
rnacentral:lncRNA from 1 species